rnacentral:lncRNA from 1 species
AAAAAAAAAUAAAAGAUAAAUAUUCAAAAUAAUAACUAAUUAGAGAAAAUAUGGAUUAAAGAAAAGUGGAAAAUGGAACGAUAAACCGAUGGAUAUGAUAGAUAGAAGGAUAAACGUCCAAUUGAACCCUUUGAGAUAUAAAUCCCAACAAACUUAAUUAGUGGCUCUAAUCAACCCUUGAAGAAAUAAUCCUUGGCAAAUUAAAG